rnacentral:rRNA from 1 species
UACGUAGGGUGCAAGCGUUGUCCGGAAUUAUUGGGCGUAAAGAGCGUGUAGGCGGCUCGAUUAGUCUGCUGUGAAAGUCCAGGGCUCAACCCUGGAAUGCCGGUGGAUACUGUCGAGCUAGAGUCCGGAAGGGGCGAGUGGAAUUCCUGGUGUAGCGGUGGAAUGCGCAGAUAUCAGGAGGAACACCAAUAGCGAAGGCAGCUCGCUGGGACGUUACUGACACUGAGGCGCGAAAGCGUGGGGAGCGAACAGG